rnacentral:rRNA from 1 species
AUACGGCGAAACUGCGAAUGGCUCAUUAAAUCAGUUAUCGUUUAUUUGAUAGUACCUUACUACUUGGAUAACCGUGGUAAUUCUAGAGCUAAUACAUGCUUAAAAUCCCGACUCACGAAGGGAUGUAUUUAUUAGAUUAAAAACCAAUGCCCUUCGGGGCUCUUUGGUGAUUCAUAAUAACUUUUCGAAUCGCAUGGCCUUGCGCCGGCGAUGGUUCAUUCAAAUUUCUGCCCUAUCAACUUUCGAUGGCAGGGUCUUGGCCUGCCAUGGUGACAACGGGUAACGGAGGGUUAGGGCUCGACCCCGGAGAAGGAGCCUGAGAAACGGCUACUACAUCCAAGGAAGGCAGCAGGCGCGCAAAUUACCCAAUCCCGACUCGGGGAGGUAGUGACAAUAAAUACUGAUACAGGGCUCUUUUGGGUCUUGUAAUUGGAAUGAGUACAAUUUAAAUCCCUUAACGAGGAACAAUUGGAGGGCAAGUCUGGUGCCAGCAGCCGCGGUAAUUCCAGCUCCAAUAGCGUAUAUUAAAGUUGUUGCAGUUAAAAAGCUCGUAGUUGAACCUUGGGCCUGGCUGGCCGGUCCGCCUCACCGCGUGCACUGGUUCGGCCGGGCCUUUCCCUCUGGGGAACCGCAUGCCCUUCACUGGGUGUGUCGGGGAACCAGGACUUUUACUGUGAAAAAAUUAGAGUGUUCAAAGCAGGCCUAUGCUCGAAUACAUUAGCAUGGAAUAAUAGAAUAGGACGUGUGGUUCUAUUUUGUUGGUUUCUAGGACCGCCGUAAUGAUUAAUAGGGACAGUCGGGGGCGUCAGUAUUCAAUUGUCAGAGGUGAAAUUCUUGGAUUUAUUGAAGACUAACUACUGCGAAAGCAUUCGCCAAGGAUGUUUUCAUUAAUCAGGAACGAAAGUUAGGGGAUCGAAGACGAUCAGAUACCGUCGUAGUCUUAACCAUAAACUAUGCCGACUAGGGAUCGGGCGAUGUUAUUAUUUGACUCGCUCGGCACCUUACGA